rnacentral:rRNA from 1 species
GUGGGGAAUAUUGCACAAUGGGCGCAAGCCUGAUGCAGCAACGCCGCGUGAGGGAUGACGGCCUUCGGGUUGUAAACCUCUUUUAGUAGGGAAGAAGCGAAAGUGACGGUACCUGCAGAAAAAGCACCGGCUAACUACGUGCCAGCAGCCGCGGUAAUACGUAGGGUGCAAGCGUUGUCCGGAAUUAUUGGGCGUAAAGAGCUCGUAGGCGGCUUGUCGCGUCUGCUGUGAAAACCCGAGGCUCAACCUCGGGCCUGCAGUGGGUACGGGCAGGCUAGAGUGCGGUAGGGGAGAUUGGAAUUCCUGGUGUAGCGGUGGAAUGCGCAGAUAUCAGGAGGAACACCGAUGGCGAAGGCAGAUCUCUGGGCCGUAACUGACGCUGAGGAGCGAAAGCAUGGGGAGCGAACAGGAUUAGAAACCCCGGUAGUCC